GUGUGUCUGUGUAUCAAGGUGUGUGUAUCUGUGUUUGUAUGUGCCAGUGUGUGUAUCUGUGUGUUAGUGUGUAUAAAUCUGAUACACAGAUACACACACUGGCACAUACUGGUACACAGAUACACACACACCUUGACACACAGUAU